UCAUUUAAUGUCAGACCAGCUUUCGAA
rnacentral:sRNA from 1 species